AGCUUUGCGCAGUGGCAGUAUCAUAGCCGGUGAGGUUUAUCCGAGGCUCGAUUAUUGCUAAUUAAAAUGAAAUUUUAAAAUGCACUCUAAACUUGAAAAAUAUACAUUUUAAAUUCAUAUAUUCCAUUUAUGAAUAUUGUAUUAACAA
rnacentral:snRNA from 1 species